AUUGAACGCUGGCGGCAGGCCUAACACAUGCAAGUCGAGCGGAUGAAGGGAGCUUGCUCCUGGAUUCAGCGGCGGACGGGUGAGUAAUGCCUAGGAAUCUGCCUGGUAGUGGGGGAUAACGUCCGGAAACGGGCGCUAAUACCGCAUACGUCCUGAGGGAGAAAGUGGGGGAUCUUCGGACCUCACGCUAUCAGAUGAGACUAGGUCGGAUUAGCUAGUUGGUGGGGUAAAGGCCUACCAAGGCGACGAUCCGUAACUGGUCUGAGAGGAUGAUCAGUCACACUGGAACUGAGACACGGUCCAGACUCCUACGGGAGGCAGCAGUGGGGAAUAUUGGACAAUGGGCGAAAGCCUGAUCCAGCCAUGCCGCGUGUGUGAAGAAGGUCUUCGGAUUGUAAAGCACUUUAAGUUGGGAGGAAGGGCAGUAAGUUAAUACCUUGCUGUCUUGACGUUACCAACAGAAUAAGCACCGGCUAACUUCGUG
rnacentral:rRNA from 1 species